GCUUUUCAUUUUAUUUCAAAAACAAUGGCGGACAGCACAAGCGGUAGACCACGAAGCUACAGACCGUAAAUAGACGUUUCCUGGAGGUGCUGGUGCUGGUCCUCUGCUGCCCUCCCGACAUCUGCAUCUGGCUCCAAUGACCUCUGGCACCUCACAUCCACCUCCAGGGCCUUUAAGAAGAUGGACCGCCAUCGCGUCUUCAGUAUCCCGAAGGACCUCUCCACAACACACCUGGCCUUUGACAGGCAGCGGUUGUAGCUUGGAGGUGGACAGGCUGCCUGAAGGGGUCAUGAGGCAGAUGGGUUGGGACAGGCAGGGUAGCCACCAUCCCCAAGGAUACAGUAUCCUGGUGGAGGGGAUGACUGCUCAUAGAAGAUGGGGCUGUUAUUCAGGACCCUGGCAUCAUGCUCUGAGUCUGGGUAGCCCACAUGAAUUUGCACUUAUCAUCACAGAUGGCCUGCAGCUGGAUGGAAUGAAAAAGCUUCCUGUUAAAAUAGCAGGCAGCAUCGUCCGUUGGGGGCUUCACUCUGACGUGGCAGCCAUCAAUAGCCCCCACCACUCUGCUGAAGGCUGCCGACCCAGCUAGACGGGCGAAGCGGGCAGGGGAAGGGAAGAUUAUAUUAAUAUGCAAGUCAUUUUAUCAAUAAAAUGUUGUCAUUGA